rnacentral:rRNA from 1 species
GAUGAACGCUGGCGGCGUGCCUAAUACAUGCAAGUCGAGCGAACAGAUGAGAAGCUUGCUUCUCUGAUGUUAGCGGCGGACGGGUGAGUAACACGUGGGUAACCUACCUAUAAGACUGGGAUAACUCCGGGAAACCGGGGCUAAUACCGGAUAAUAUUUUGAACCGCAUGGUUCAAUAGUGAAAGACGGUUUCGGCUGUCACUUAUAGAUGGACCCGCGCCGUAUUAGCUAGUUGGUAAGGUAACGGCUUAACAAGGCGACGAUACGUAGCAGCCCUGGGAGGGUGAACGGCCAAACUGGAACUGAUACACGGUCCAGACUCCUACGGGAGGCAGCAGUAGGGAUUCUUCCGCAAUGGGCGAAAGCCUGACGGAGCAACGCCGCGUGAGUGAUGAAGGUCUUCGGAUCGUAAAACUCUGUUGUUAGGGAAGAACAAAUUUGUUAGUAACUGAACAAAUCUUGACGGUACCUAACCAGAAAGCCACGGCUAACUACGUGCCAGCCGCCGCGGUAA